rnacentral:rRNA from 1 species
AGCGAACGCUGGCGGCAGGCUUAACACAUGCAAGUCGAGCGGGCAUCUUCGGAUGUCAGCGGCAGACGGGUGAGUAACACGUGGGAACGUACCCUUCGGUUCGGAACAACUCUGGGAAACUGGAGCUAAUACCGGAUACGCCCUUAUGGGGAAAGGUUUACUGCCGAAGGGUCGGCCCGCGUCUGAUUAGCUAGUUGGUGGGGUAACGGCCUACCAAGGCGACGAUCAGUAGCUGGUCUGAGAGGAUGAUCAGCCACACUGGGACUGAGACACGGCCCAGACUCCUACGGGAGGCGGCAGUGGGGAAUAUUGGACAAUGGGCGCAAGCCUGAUCCAGCCAUGCCGCGUGAGUGAUGAAGGCCUUAGGGUUGUAAAGCUCUUUUGUCCGGGACGAUAAUGACGGUACCGGAAGAAUAAGCCCCGGCUAACUUCGUG